UACGAAGGGGGCUAGCGUUGUUCGGAAUUACUGGGCGGAAAGCGCACGUAGGCGGAAUGUUAAGUCAGGGGUGAAAUCCCGGGGCUCAACCCCGGAACUGCCUUUGAUACUGGCAUUCUCGAGUCCGGAAGAGGUGAGUGGAAUUCCGAGUGUAGAGGUGAAAUUCGUAGAUAUUCGGAGGAACACCAGUGGCGAAGGCGGCUCACUGGUCCGGUACUGACGCUGAGGUGCGAAAGCGUGGGGAGCAAACAGG
rnacentral:rRNA from 1 species